AUUGAACGCUGGCGGCAGGCCUAACACAUGCAAGUCGAGCGGAUGAAGGGAGCUUGCUCCUGGAUUCAGCGGCGGACGGGUGAGUAAUGCCUAGGAAUCUGCCUGGUAGUGGGGGAUAACGUCCGGAAACGGGCGCUAAUACCGCAUACGUCCUGAGGGAGAAAGUGGGGGAUCUUCGGACCUCACGCUAUCAGAUGAGCCUAGGUCGGAUUAGCUAGUUGGUGGGGUAAAGGCCUACCAAGGCGACGAGCCGUAACUGGUCUGUGAGGAUGAGCGGUCACACUGGAACGGAGACACGGACCAGACUCCUACGGGAGGCAGCAGUGGGGAAUAUUGGACAAUAGGCGGAAGCCUGAUCCAGGCAGGCCGCGGGUGUGGAGAAGGUCUACGGAUUGUAAAGCACUUGAAGUUGGGGGGAAGGGCAGUAAGUUAGUACGUAGCUGUUUUGACGUUACCAACAGAAGAAGCACCGGCUAACUUCGGG
rnacentral:rRNA from 1 species